rnacentral:rRNA from 1 species
UACGGAGGGUGCAAGCGUUAUCCGGAUUUAUUGGGUUUAAGGGGUCCGUAGGCGGAUCUGUAAGUCAGUGGUGAAAUCUCACAGCUUAACUGUGAAACUGCCAUUGAUACUGCAGGUCUUGAGUGUUAUUGAAGUAGCUGGAAUAAGUAGUGUAGCGGUGAAAUGCAUAGAUAUUACUUAGAACACCAAUUGCGAAGGCAGGUUACUAAGCAACAACUGACGCUGAUGGACGAAAGCGUGGGGAGCGAACAGG